UUUGCAAGGUGGAGAUGAGAAUGAAAAUUGGGGAACGGAUGUUGGAACUGGUUCUGAGCAGGAAUUGACUUUGUUGUAUCCAUUUACAUCGUCUACUAGUGUGAUUCAGAGGAAGAUUAAACGGCAGUAUGAUGAACUAAUGAGGUGUCAGGAAUCAAAGGAAUUGACAUUGGCUCAGGUCCAACAAUUCGCUAACUGCUUAAUCAACGCUAGAAGCAAGCUGCAG
rnacentral:misc_RNA from 1 species